rnacentral:lncRNA from 1 species
GAAGAGAUUAACGAUACUUCUUUAUCUUUUGAGUUAUUCUACCGGAUCGGUCGGUCAAGAUCUUCUGCGCGGUUAUGAUGUUUCCGUCAUCAUCCAUAGCUUGUAUUCGAUGAAGUCACAUUUUUUUGAAAAAAAAUAUAUAAAAUAUAAAAUGUGAUUAAUGUAUUUAUGUUUUAUAUGAAUACAGACUAUUGAAUAAAAGUGAAUACAACGGAUGUAAAUCGAAUACAUCAAUUAUAAAUGAUAAUAUUGUAAAAUGUGG